AUUGAACGCUGGCGGCAGGCUUAACACAUGCAAGUCGAGCGGUAACAGAGAGAAGCUUGCUUCUCUGCUGACGAGCGGCGGACGGGUGAGUAAUGCCUAGGAAUCUGCCUAGUAGUAGGGGAUAACUUGCCGAAAGGUAAGCUAAUACCGCAUACGUCCUACGGGAGAAAGGAGGGGACCUUCGGGCCUUUCGCUAUUAGAUGAGCCUAGGUCGGAUUAGUUAGUUGGUGAGGUAAUGGCUCACCAAGACCGCGAUCCGUAACUGGUCUGAGAGGAUGAUCAGUCACACUGGAGCUGAGACACGGUCCAGACUCCUACGGGAGGCAGCAGUGGGGAAUAUUGGACAAUGGGGGGAACCCUGAUCCAGCCAUGCCGCGUGUGUGAAGAAGGUCUUAGGAUUGUAAAGCACUUUAAGUUGGGAGGAAGAGCAGUUAACUAAUAUUUGACUGUUUUGACGUUACCGACAGAAUAAGCACCGGCUAGCUUCGUGCCAGCCGCCGCGGUAA
rnacentral:rRNA from 1 species